rnacentral:rRNA from 1 species
UACGUAGGGUGCAAGCGUUAAUCGGAAUUACUGGGCGUAAAGCGUGCGCAGGCGGUUGUGCAAGACAGAUGUGAAAUCCCCGGGCUUAACCUGGGAACUGCAUUUGUGACUGCACGGCUAGAGUGUGUCAGAGGGGGGUAGAAUUCCACGUGUAGCAGUGAAAUGCGUAGAUAUCUGGAGGAACACCGGUGGCGAAGGCGGCAUCCUGGACCGACACUGACGCUGAGGAGCGAAAGCCAGGGGAGCAAACGGG